GCGCGAGUGGUGGCGUUCGGUACCACGCGGUCCUGCCACGACCGAGACGGGCGUUCGAAUCGUCUCUCGCGCA
rnacentral:tRNA from 1 species